GAGUUUGGAGGGUGCCGGUCAGCGGAGCCGUGCGAUGUAUUUGAAAAGCAAUCAGUCCGACCUUCCCCCAUAGAUUCAUCACUAGUGGAGAGCUGGGCUUCGAGGCGUCAGUGUGAAGGGAAGGCUAAGGACGCAUCGGUGCUGGAGAGUUGAGAAUAUGCCUUCCCCUCCACCCCCAACCCAGUCACCUUAUUUGAAAAAAAAUUAAAAAACACCUUUUAUUUAAAAACCUAACCCUGGAAGUUUGCUCGCUGCCUGAAAAUCAUAUGCGUGGUUUUUCCUGUUUCCUGCUCUGUAGCUGACAUCAGGGGAGCAACGUGAACACAGGAAAAUGGAAAUCAACAUUUGAAACUUUUAAAUGGAAGCUUUAUUGGGGUUCCACAUAUGGAAAACUGCAAAUAGCAGAAGUAUGUGACUCAAUAAAUUAUUCUGGAGUGACCACAUCCUCUAACUGCCUCCCAGGACAAGACGGAGAAUGUGAACAAUGCUCCUGAAGGCCCCUUUCCCUCAAAGAAUCACUGCAAUUGAAGGAAAAAUGCUCCAUGUCCCCUCUGCCAGUUGGUGUUUAUCAAAGGACAACGGAGGAAGAGAGACAAAGUGCCUGGAUGUGUGUGUUAAUCAAGAGUUGUCAGGACCCUGCCUCUAAAAGAAAGCGCUAAAAUGAUGCUUUUGACAAGACUUUUCUCAAAGUGGAUGCAGUCUAAGGGUUGGAAAACAAGGCCCAAUCAGGCUAGGUCUGACUUGUCGCCUGCUUUUGUAAAUAAAGUUUUAUUGGCUCACAGACACACU
rnacentral:lncRNA from 1 species